AUAAUGGGACCCUUGUGAUGGAUGAUCCGAUCUCGUACCUUUAUGCAUCCAUUUGUUUUUGCCAUGGUUUUAUUCAUGAACAUGUAUUGCUUGCUACUAGUUGUAGCAUUGGAGAAAGCUACACUUUCAGAUGAGUAUUUUGUGAAGAGGAAGCUUUAUCCAAACUUGGUUUUCUACUCUGGCUUAAUUUAUCGGUAUAUUCAAGAAAAUUUCUACUCUGGCAUCCAUUCUUACUUAACACCCCUGACCUUAAUUACUUUGCUUAGGAUGUGUUUCAGAUAAAGUAUUAAGUGUUCUGUCAGAGUUUCAUUUGAUUUGAUAUACAGUUUGUUCUAUUUUUUUACAAGAGUGGCUUGCCCAGAAGAAAAUAUUGAUAUUCUAACUUGGUUUUUGAAUGUUAGGCAUUGCGUUGGAGACAAAGUGAAUGUUCUUUUCUAGCCUCUAUUUUUUUGUGAUGCUUCGGAAGCAUUGUUGAAGUUUUCAGCUUCCAACUGCUUCUUUAUUUCCAUUGGAAUUUCAAACUUUGAUCAUCAAUGUGGGAAUUCAAUUGAGUCGACUUAGAAACGGUUGCAUCUCAUUUGGAUAGCAUUGAUCAGAGAAGAAUGAAUCCUUUGCAAUCUAUCAUCUAUUGGGUUAUACACAUCACUACAAGAAAUUGACUUUUGUUGGCUGGCUUUAAUUAUUAUCUCUCGAAUCAUAAAUUAAGGUCUAUCAGUUGUGUGGCCCAUUGUCUAAUCUUCAACAAAUGAAUUAGUUGUGAUCAUCUGCAGUACAUGAGCCCACUGGAUGAACAUGUACUCGAUGUACAGUGGGAGACUACAACUUUGGGAGUGAAGGCAUUCUACAUGGCAGAUUUCUUUGUAGCAGAUGUUGGUUACUGAAUUUUGUUCUUCUUAUAACUAUCAUCUAUUUACAAAAUAUAGAUUCUAUCUUACUGGUUGCUUGAAAUGCUUUUCAGUCGCGGGUUCCACUUGAGUAUCAUGCUAUCGACAGCUCUAUUUCAAGCCGAUAUCGACUAAACAUGGUUGCAGAAGAAAGUCGUCAUUUACAAUUUGCCAUGAGCUUGUAUGGUUUAUUUUUGUGAUUUAUAUGCCUUUUAGAUGCAUAAUCUGUAACUUACUACAAUCUUUCAAGAAUUGAUUAUAUUAUUUGGCUUCUCUCAAAUCA